GAACGCGUUGGCCCAAUUGAUUGAUGGUGCUUGCACCUGAUUGAUUUUGGUCGCCAACGAGUGGCGGACGGGUGAGUAACACGUAGGUAACCUGCCCAGAAGCGGGGGACAACAUUUGGAAACAGAUGCUAAUACCGCAUAACAACGUUGUUCGCAUGAACAACGCUUAAAAGAUGGCUUCUCGCUAUCACUUCUGGAUGGACCUGCGGUGCAUUAGCUUGUUGGUGGGGUAAUGGCCUACCAAGGCGAUGAUGCAUAGCCGAGUUGAGAGACUGAUCGGCCACAAUGGGACUGAGACACGGCCCAUACUCCUACGGGAGGCAGCAGUAGGGAAUCUUCCACAAUGGGCGCAAGCCUGAUGGAGCAACACCGCGUGAGUGAAGAAGGGUUUCGGCUCGUAAAGCUCUGUUGUUAAAGAAGAACACGUAUGAGAGUAACUGUUCAUACGUUGACGGUAUUUAACCAGAAAGUCACGGCUAACUACGUGCCAGCAGCCGCGGUAAUACGUAGGUGGCAAGCGUUAUCCGGAUUUAUUGGGCGUAAAGAGAGUGCAGGCGGUUUUCUAAGUCUGAUGUGAAAGCCUUCGGCUUAACCGGAGAAGUGCAUCGGAAACUGGAUAACUUGAGUGCAGAAGAGGGUAGUGGAACUCCAUGUGUAGCGGUGGAAUGCGUAGAUAUAUGGAAGAACACCAGUGGCGAAGGCGGCUACCUGGUCUGCAACUGACGCUGAGACUCGAAAGCAUGGGUAGCGAACAGGAUUAGAUACCCUGGUAGUCCAUGCCGUAAACGAUGAGUGCUAGGUGUUGGGAGGGUUUCCGCCCUUCAGUGCCGGAGCUAACGCAUUAAGCACUCCGC
rnacentral:rRNA from 2 species